ACGGCCGGCGGGACGGCCGCCCCGCAAGGGGAGGAAAGUCCGGGCUCCACAGGGUGCGGUGGUGGGUAACGCCCACCCCCGGUAACGGCUUCGGGACCGGCCCGGGCCGCCAGCGGGCGGGACAGUGCAACAGAAAGAUACCGCCUCGUCGUCACUCGUCAUUCGUCAUCCGUCAUUCGAGGGGCGUGAACCUUUCGGUCUGCCCCCCGAAUGACGAAUGACGAAUGACGAGUGACGAAAGGUAAGGGUGAAAUGGUGCGGGGCGAAAGCCCUUAAUGUAAGAGCGCACCAGCGGCCGGGUGACCGGCCGGCUCGGCAAACCCCACCGGGAGCAAGGCCAAGCAGGGGACAGGACCGGCCCGGUCCGUUACGAUCCCCGGGUAGGCUGCUCGACCCCACGGGCAACCGUGGGGCUAGAUAAAUGGCCGUCGCCGCCGUGGUCGCAAGGCCGCGGCGGGACAGAACCCGGCUUACACGCCGGCCGGCAGA
rnacentral:RNase_P_RNA from 1 species